ensembl:snRNA U2 U2 spliceosomal RNA
AUUUCAUCUCAGCCUUUUGGCUAAGAUCAAGUGUAGUAUCUGUUCUUGUCAAUUUAAAUAGCAAGAGAAAAGAAAGGAAAAUAACGGGCAUGCCCCCACACUCUUC